rnacentral:lncRNA from 1 species
UCGACGGUUCCUUCAUGCUUGCAGUUUGCUAUUCAGAGUACCAGCUAAAUUCGUUUGAUAUGUAGUGUCACUUUCAUGCAAUAGUGAAUCAACUGUUCAUAUAAUCAUUGUUUAAUCUUUGAAGUAUUAGUUUAUUUCCUUGGCAUGGUUUUGGUUCUCGACAUGUACAAUUGUAAGGAAUUAGCUUGAGCAACUUGCAUCUAUUCCAG